UACGGGGGAUGCAAGCGUUAUCCGAAAUCAUUGGGCGUAAAGCGCCUGUAGGUUGUUUAUUAAGUCUGUUGUUAAAGCCUAGGGCUUAACCCUAGAACAGCAAUGGAAACUGGUAAACUUGAGUAUGGUAGGGGUAGAGGGAAUUUCUAGUGUAGCGGUGAAAUGCGUAGAUAUUAGAAAGAACACCAGUGGCGAAAGCGCUCUACUGGACCAUUACUGACACUCAGAGGCGAAAGCUAGGGUAGCAAAAGGG
rnacentral:rRNA from 1 species